CUUUUUAAUCGUUUUGUAAAUAACCCCUGGGAUACAGACUGUGUCCAAAGCUUUUUCGAGGUCUAUUAGGCAGGCAGCUACUCGUUGCUUUUCGUUAAGUGCCCAGCAGAUGUCCGACAUAAAUAAGCCUGCUGGAAGAAUCUGGCAAAUAAAAUGAAAUAGCUGAGGUACAUCAACAUAGCAAGUUUGAUGUUCAAAGGUGUAACGUGACAUUCAACUUGGGCACUGUGUACAUAGUAAGCAUAAUAGGAGUACAUCCAGGCAUGAACGAAAGAGUUUACCAAGCCAAACCACUUGCCAUUUCCUGUGGCCUCUGCAUAAGAGAACCAUGUAUAAAGAAGGACUGUUACGUGAUGGUACCAAUGUAGAAAAAUCAAUGGUUGCUUUCGUAAUACAAUGAAGGCUGUGUCGCCAAAUUCUACCAGCUUCGAUAGGGCAAAGGUCCACGACCAAAAACCGAAAACUGGAUCUUGAGUAAGAUGGCUGGAAAGAAUAUAAUUACAUUUCUAUUAUGAUAUAAUAUUUUGGAAAUAUCGUUAUAUGUUAUGAAU
rnacentral:misc_RNA from 1 species